AUAAGAAUGAGACAGAAGAUAAUGAUCACCUACAACACAACAACACAACCACAACACAACAUUCAGCUCUGACACUUAGAUCCAUCUUAUUGAAUGUCCUGCUCCUCAUCAUAAUAAUAGGUCUGUUGAUGGCAAGAUGUCAGAAACCAAAAAAAAGUCUAAAACCACAGUCGACUGCUAAGGUCGCGCUUAAGCAGAUUAAUGACCUGAAUACAGCUGAGUUUACAGAAGUGGAGUUUCGUCUGUGUGAAUAACAUUGCAGUGAGGCCGGCAGCAUUUUUACAUCACAAACUAACAAUAAAAUGAAGACAUAAACAAACACAAUAUGAAUCUGUCUGUCUGUAUAGCCUAACAAUAUAAAUACUUAC